rnacentral:rRNA from 1 species
UACAGAGGUCCCAAGCGUUGUUCGGAUUCAUUGGGCGUAAAGGGUGCGUAGGCGGCGCGGUAAGUCGGGUGUGAAAUCUCGGAGCUUAACUCCGAAACUGCAUUCGAUACUGCCGUGCUUGAGGACUGGAGAGGAGACUGGAAUUUACGGUGUAGCGGUGAAAUGCGUAGAUAUCAUAAGGAAGACCAGUGGCGAAGGCGGGUCUCUGGACAGUUCCUGACGCUGAGGCACGAAGGCCAGGGGAGCAAACGGG